rnacentral:rRNA from 1 species
UGUUAAAAAGCUCGUAGUUGGAUCAAGAGUUCCACAGUGCACGGUGGCCCUGUUUGCUGAGUUGGUUUCGGUCAGCGAGGCGGCAGCGGAUCAACCCCGUGCGCCAAACUGUGGUCUCUAACAGGCCGAAACGGUUCCCUGUGAGUAGGCUCCUUCAUUGGGGCUGAAAGCGCUUACGCAUCAACCAUAUGCAUACGGGACGUCGGCCAAAGUUACUGUGAACAAACCAGCGUGUCCAAAACAGGCUUUCGCCUGAAUGUUCGAGCAUGGAAUAACAAGGGAUCGAUACUCUCGGUUCUUUUUGUUGGUUUUUAACCCGAGAAGGAGUAAUUUAGGCCACGGUGUCUGAGUUGGGUUCCCCGUCACCUCGGUGGCGGCCCCAAUUAGGCCGUGUCCUUACGGGAUAAAUAGGGACUGACGGGGUCGUACGUACUUCCACGUCAGAGGUGAAAUUCUUAGAUCGUGGGAAGACGAACUUCUGCGAAAGCAUUCGACAAGAAUGUCUUCAUUAAUCAAGAACGAGAGUGUGGGGAUCGAAGAUGAUCAGAUACCGUCGUAGUCCACUACUGUAAACAAUGCCGUCUCAGGAUUGAGAAGUGAACAGAAUGACUUUCACAGCACUAACCCCUGAAACGAGAAAUCAAAGAUUAUGGGUUCAGGGGGGAGUACAUUCGCAAGGCUGAAACUUAAGGGAAUUGACGGAAUGACACCACAAGGCGUG